rnacentral:rRNA from 1 species
UACGAAGGGGGCUAGCGUUGCUCGGAAUCACUGGGCGUAAAGGGUGCGUAGGCGGGUCUUUUAAGUCAGGGGUGAAAUCCUGGAGCUCAACUCCAGAACUGCCUUUGAUACUGAGGAUCUUGAGUUCGGGAGAGGUGAGUGGAACUGCGAGUGUAGAGGUGAAAUUCGUAGAUAUUCGCAAGAACACCAGUGGCGAAGGCGGCUCACUGGCCC